GGGUGCUCGCUUCCCGACUGCAGCGAGCAGGUAUCUGUGCUGGUCGGGCCGCCAGCA
rnacentral:ncRNA from 2 species